GUCCUCACUUCGGCAGCACAUAUACUAAAAUUGGAACGAUACAGAGAAGAUUAGCAUGGCCAUGCGCAAGGAUGACACGCAAAUGAGAAUGUAUGAGGGAAAU